CUCACAAAUUACCCUAAAUCCAGAGAGAAUAUCAACCCUUUUCACUGUUGUCAAAUCCAGCCAAAGGAACAGCCCAUGACACUACAAAAACAGUAGAGGAAUAAAGAAUAAAUCUCUCAUGUUACACUCCAGAAUAAAGGCAUUCGGUGAAAGAAAUGAACCGAAGUUCAUCGUGAAUGCGAGGCUUCUGUACUUGACAUUCCUCCACGGAAGGAAAGACAAGUGUCAGCACCACUGGCAUCCUUUUCAAACCGAUCUGAUGUGGAAUAUCUUCCACCACACUGGAGUACUUCUAGACUCUAUCUGCUUUAGUGUUAACAGGGUACAAAGUGUUUCUUGUCCUUUAUUGUACUUAAAAGGUUCUCAUUGAUUGGUGAUUGUAUUGUACCGUAUGAAAAUGAGUCAUAAAUUGCCUUGUAUUGUUUCUAAUAGACCAUACCACGUACUCCUUCAGUUUUCAUGUUCCAAAUUUUUCAGUGAUGCAUGUCAACAGUUAGGUCCGAAAAUUCUGUGGUGCUAAUUCUUCCAUAUC
rnacentral:lncRNA from 1 species